GAAAAAGAGACUUGGUAAUUCACUGAGCAUCACCCAAGACCGGGCGCAGACCUACACCCUGGCGUAUAAAAGACGUAGUACUCACGUCAUUCCUGUUUCACAGAUGCACAGACUUACUCUUGGAGAGGCUCCUCCCAAAAGUCACCCAGCUGAUUUUCAUCCACUUGGCUCCCCAAGUUGCUGCUCGACCGCUCUCUGACCUGGAUUCACUGAGGACACAUCAGGCCUUUGCCACGGGCUCCAUGGAGUGGCCGGAGCCCAGGGCUGGAGGAACUCAUGCACAUGUGUCCUGGAGACCUGCAAGAGGACAGCACCAUGGAGAUGACCAGCAACUAAUACCACCCAAAGGUCCACCAACAGGAGAAUGGAUACCCCAGCAGGGGUGCAUGCAUGCAACGGAACACACCACGUACUGGUGAGAGUGAAUCAAUGUCGGUCACACGCAUCAACGCCGAUGAGGCUGAGACUCGUAAUAUCAAAUUUAGAAUUGCAAGUAGCAGAAGGAUCAAAGUUAUAUUUGUAAUAAAGCUUAAACACAAGCAAAUCGAGCACUGUAUUGUUUAGGCACACAUUCACAUUUGGUAAAGACAUAAAGCAAAGCAAGGGAACGAGACAAAA
rnacentral:lncRNA from 10 species